AUUGUUUAUUUACACAUAACUGGAGCAGCACUUUAAAAGUACAAACUUCUUCUUGCUCCAAAGAAAUGUUUAUGCCUCCUGACAUCUCCAAAACAUAGAGAGACUUUUCUUGUACAAAGUUAAUAUAUAUAAAAAAUAAAGACACACACAAACUGGAUGUUUGCUGAGGAUAAAUAAACACAUGAUGUACGUCAGCUGUUCAGUCAACAAUGUUCACAUUUCAGUGAACGUGUUUGGGGUGAAAUUAUGAAGUGAUAAAUAUGAAAAUAAAGAUUUUUAAUCUGGAAACAUCAUUAUUGAAUUUACUGGAAAAUGCAAAAAAUAAAAAAAAAUUCUCCAAUGUAAUGUUAAAUUCUUUACAAACUAAAACUAUUGCAAAAAAAAAGAGGAACAUGUGUCAGAAUUAAAUAAAGUACAGAUGAAUUCAGGUCAUUAAACAUUCGACACAAACAAGCUCCUUAUAAAGUAUUUUCAGACACGGCCGCGGGCAACUCGCACAGAUCAAACGGUCUGUUCCUAUCAAACACAAACUGACAUUAGUUCUCUAAAGUGCAACACUAACUUUGUUCUCCAAGAGGCAGAGUUCAGCAUUUUUGGUUUUUCUAAAGGUGAAGCAGGUUACAAAGGAACCGUGUGACUCCCCGCCUGCUGCGUCCGUGAGAUCUCCACAAACAUUUUGUGUAUCAGAGUGAAAGUUGAUACAAGAGUUCACUUUAGUAUAAGACCUUGGACAAGUUUGACAUUGGGCGCAUUGCAAUUCCAACUUUCGCCACAAGAGGGCAGAGACUCUGAAACCCUGUGUGUGUGUGUGACAUCUUGACAAAGACUUUAAGAUGAAACUUCGUAAACAAGGUCACGUCAUUAAAAUCUUGAAGAAGUUUGAUAUUUGGGAUGUUUUGACUCUAAUUGUAGCCACCAGGGGGCAGAGAGUCUAAAACUUCAUAGAAAAAGACAU